AACUUUUGGCAACGGAUCUCUUGGCUCUCGCAUCGAUGAAGAACGCAGCGAAAUGCGAUAAGUAAUGUGAAUUGCAGAAUUCAGUGAAUCAUCGGAUCUUUGAACGCACCUUGCGCUCCUUGGUAUUCCGAGGAGCAUGCCUGUUUGAGUGUCAUUAAAUUCUCAACCUCAUCAGUUUCGUUAUGAGACUGUGUGAGGCUUGGAUGUGGGGGUUGUGCAGAACGCUUUCGAGCAGACUGCUCCCCUUAAAAAUAUUAGCGAGUUCAAACUGGGCUCCGUCUAUUGGUGUGAUAAUUAUCUACGCCGUGGAUGGGGCUUAGACUUGCUUCUAACCGUCCGCAAGGACAAUCUUUUGACAAUUUGACCUCAAAUCAGGUAGGACUACCCGCUGAACUUAAGCAUAUCAAUAAGCGGAGGCU
rnacentral:misc_RNA from 1 species